rnacentral:rRNA from 1 species
GGGUGAGUAACACGUGAGCAACCUGCCCCUGACUCUGGGAUAAGCGCUGGAAACGGCGUCUAAUACCGGAUAUGAGCUGCGAUCGCAUGGUCAGCAGUUGGAAAGAUUUUUCGGUCUGGGAUGGGCUCACGGCCUAUCAGCUUGUUGGUGAGGUAAUGGCUCACCAAGGCGUCGACGGGUAGCCGGCCUGAGAGGGUGACCGGCCACACUGGGACUGAGACACGGCCCAGACUCCUACGGGAGGCAGCAGUGGGGAAUAUUGCACAAUGGGCGAAAGCCUGAUGCAGCAACGCCGCGUGAGGGAUGACGGCCUUCGGGUUGUAAACCUCUUUUAGCAGGGAAGAAGCGAAAGUGACGGUACCUGCAGAAAAAGCGCCGGCUAACUACGUGCCAGCAGCCGCGGUAAUACGUAGGGCGCAAGCGUUAUCCGGAAUUAUUGGGCGUAAAGAGCUCGUAGGCGGUUUGUCGCGUCUGCUGUGAAAUCCCGAGGCUCAACCUCGGGUCUGCAGUGGGUACGGGCAGACUAGAGUGCGGUAGGGGAGAUUGGAAUUCCUGGUGUAGCGGUGGAAUGCGCAGAUAUCAGGAGGAACACCGAUGGCGAAGGCAGAUCUCUGGGCCGUUACUGACGCUGAGGAGCGAAAGGGUGGGGAGCAAACAGGCUUAAAUACCCUGGUAGUCCACCCCGUAAACGUUGGGAACUAGUUGU